rnacentral:rRNA from 1 species
AUGAACGCUGGCGGCGUGCCUAACACAUGCAAGUCGAACGAAGCGUCCCGCCCGAAGAAGAGGAGUGCUUGCACAAAUCGGACUCAAUUGGGAUGACUUAGUGGCGGACGGGUGAGUAACGCGUGGGUAACCUGCCUCACACAGGGGGAUAACAGUUAGAAAUGACUGCUAAUACCGCAUAAGCGCACACUACCGCAUGGUAGAGUGUGAAAAAACUUUCGUGGUGUGAGAUGGACCCGCGUCUGAUUAGCCAGUUGGCAGGGUAACGGCCUACCAAAGCAACGAUCAGUAGCCGGCCUGAGAGGGUGAACGGCCACAUUGGGACUGAGACACGGCCCAAACUCCUACGGGAGGCAGCAGUGGGGGAUAUUGCACAACGGGGGAAACCCUGAUGCAGCCGACGCCGCGUGAGCGAUGAAGUAUCUCGGUAUGUAAAGCUCUAUCAGCAGGGAAGAAAAUGACGGUACCUGACUAAGAAGCUCCGGCUAAAUACGUGCCAGCCGCGGC